GGCAUUUAAAACACAUUUGGACUG
rnacentral:miRNA from 1 species